GCAUGGAUGAAUUCUGUGUUGGCUUUCACAAUAGCUAAUGGAGUCAGACACCAUGCAAAAUGAAAGCUCCUGUCUUGGAUGUUCCUUGCGGCAGGCUGUGUUAUAAGGCAGCCUGCCCAUAUCUGAAGCGGAUACAGAU